rnacentral:rRNA from 1 species
UACGUAGGUGGCAAGCGUUGUUCGGAAUUAUUGGGCGUAAAGGGCGCGUAGGCGGUUUGUUAAGUCGGCUGUGAAAGCCUGGGGCUCAACCCCAGAGGGUCGGCCGAUACUGGCAAACUAGAGUACGGAAGAGGUAGCUGGAAUUCCCGGUGGAGCGGUGAAAUGCGUAGAGAUCCGGAGGAACACCGAAAGCGAAGGCAGUCUCCUGGCAAGUUUCUGACGCUCAGGUGCGAAAGCUAGGGGAGCGAACAGG